rnacentral:rRNA from 1 species
GUGGAGUAUGUGGUUUAAUUCGAAGCAACGCGAAGAACCUUACCAGGGCUUGACAUCCCUUGAAGCAGCUAGAGAUAGCUGUGUCCUUCGGGACAAGGAGACAGGUGGUGCAUGGUUGUCGUCAGCUCGUGUCGUGAGAUGUUGGGUUAAGUCCCGCAACGAGCGCAACCCCUAUUGUUAGUUGCCAUCAUUCAGUUGGGCACUCUAGCGAGACUGCCGGCAAUAAACCGGAGGAAGGUGGGGAUGACGUCAAAUCAUCAUGCCCCUUAUGACCUGGGCUACACACGUGCUACAAUGGUUGGUACAACGAGUUGCGAGUCGGUGACGGCGAGCUAAUCUCUUAAAGCCAAUCUCAGUUCGGAUUGUAGGCUGCAACUCGCCUACAUGAAGUCGGAAUCGCUAGUAAUCGCGGAUCAGCACGCCGCGGUGAAUACGUUCCCGGGCCUU